rnacentral:rRNA from 1 species
UAGGGAAUCUUCCGCAAUGGGCGAAAGCCUGACGGAGCAACGCCGCGUGAGUGAUGAAGGUCUUCGGAUCGUAAAACUCUGUUAUUAGGGAAGAACAAAUGUGUAAGUAACUAUGCACGUCUUGACGGUACCUAAUCAGAAAGCCACGGCUAACUACGUGCCAGCAGCCGCGGUAAUACGUAGGUGGCAAGCGUUAUCCGGAAUUAUUGGGCGUAAAGCGCGCGUAGGCGGUUUUUUAAGACUGAUGUGAAAGCCCACGGCUCAAACGUAGAGGGUAAUUGGAGACUGGAAAACUUGAGUGCAGAAGAGGAAAGUGGAAUUCCAUGUGUAGCGGUGAAAUGCGCAGAGAUAUGGAGGAACACCAGUGGCGAAGGCGACUUUCUGGUCUGUAACUGACGCUGAUGUGCGAAAGCGUGGGGAUCAAACAGG